rnacentral:rRNA from 1 species
CCUACGGGCGGCAACAGUAGGGAAUAUUGCUCAAUGGGCGAAAGCCUGAAGCAGCAACGCCGCGUGAAGGAUGAAGGUUUUCGGUAUGUAAACUUCUAUUGGUAGAGAAGAUAAUGACGGUACCUGACCAAGAAGCACCGGCUAACUACGUGCCAGCAGCCGCGGUAAUACGGAGGGUGCAAGCGUUAUUCGGAUUUACUGGGCGUAAAGCGAGCGUAGGCGGGAUAGCAAGUCAGAUGUGAAAGCCUUGGGCUGAACCACAGGACUGCAUUUGAAACUGGUUGUCUUGAGUGUCGGAGAGGUAGGUGGAAUGCUUAGUGUAGCGGUGAAAUGCGUAGAGAGUAAGAGGAAUACUGAUUGCGAAGGCGGCCUGCUGGAGCAUAACUGACGCUGAGGCGCGAAAGCGUGGGGAGCAAACAGGAUUAGAUACCCCAGUAGUC